GGAAGAGGUGGAAAGUGAUUACCGCGCCUAAGAGAUCCAUUCGGUCUAUGCCGAUGAGAAUCCGGCGCAGCGAAGCUUUGUGUGCCCAUCGCGCGCGUGCAAGUCAGAGCCCUUUCGCGACGCGAGCUUCAAAGCUGUUUGCAAAAGUCCCGAGGUUGAGAAAAUUACAGCAAGUUGCAAAUCGUGGGUGGUCUCUAAACUCUACGCCAGGGAUCCCAACCUAGCCCCGCAGACUUGGAGCGAGCUGCACGGAGCUCGCCUAGGCUUCUUUAGAGGAAAUCCGCCAGGGGGAGGGACUGGGGUGUGCUGCCUUCUCUUCCGACCGCGGGAAGGACUGCCGGGCAAUGCAGAGGGACGAAGACAAGAUGUCUGGAACCAUCCUUUUCAAGGACACCUUUCUUUCCUUUGCAUCUGUGGAUUGUUGCUAUUUUCACAUCCUGUUUGCAGAUGCGAGACAAAACAAAAUGACUUGUUUGUGCAAAAAAAUUCCUAUCCUUAUUUUAGGGCAACCUUCCACAAUUUGAUAUUCCCCUAGCUGUUGGAUUACAUUAUCCAUAAACCACAAGCCAAUUGGGCAGUACUGGCUGAAGAUCAUGGGAGUUAUACAACAUAUUUGGACAGCAUUAAAUUGCAAAGGCAAGUCUUCUAAAAAUUAUGUUUUAGAACCUUAUGCUACUUACCGCCUGGACCAUAUUUUCAUUUCUUCAACUCAGUUUUUUUUUAUUAAGCAGUGCUUUAUUGAUUGCCAGAUUUUAGGGUACUUAAAAUGCUUGAUUAUUUCACAAUAGACAAAACCUAUUCAGACAAGUUCAUAUCUGGUCACUUGAACAAAAUGCUCAGUUGCGGAGAAAUUGAAUGAGGAGCGAGAGGAAGAACAAUUUAAUUAAUUUGGGAUGCUUCAAAUUAAUGAGUGUUCCUUUGGAAUUGUCUGGCAUAAAAUUCAACCCAGAAAACAAAGAUUGGGAAGGAUUGUUUAAGAUUAACACAGUUGAGUUAAUAAGUAUAGUAUUUCUUUUGCACAAUAACUAAGCAUGAAAUGUGAAGGAAGGUAUGCUGGUAUUGGAGUGAAUUAGUGAUUUGUUUGCAUUGUUCAUAAAGCAAUUUAAUAAACUUUGUAUUUUCCAUGUUAUAAA